CCCGCUACAAGAACUACGAAAGGAAUUGACGGGGCCCGCACAAGCGGUGGAGUAUGUGGUUUAAUUCGAUGCAACGCGAAGAACCUUACCUGGUCUUGACAUCCCGGAGACCCUUAGGAAACUAGGGGGUGCUUCCAUCUGGAAGAAUCUGGAGACAGGUGCUGCAUGGCUGUCGUCAGCUCGUGUCGUGAGAUGUUGGGUUAAGUCCCGCAACGAGCGCAACCCUUGCCUUUAGUUGCCAGCAGUUCGGCUGGGCACUCUAAAGGGACUGCCGGUGUUAACCGGGGAAGGUGGGGAUGACGUCAAGUCCUCAUGGCCUUUAUGACCAGGGCUACACACGUACUACAAUGGCCGAUACAAAGGGCAGCGACACUGCGAGGUGAAGCCAAUCCCGUAAAAUCGGUCUCAGUCCGGAUUGGAGUCUGCAACUCGACUCCAUGAAGUUGGAAUCGCUAGUAAUCGUGGAUCAGCAUGCCACGGUGAAUACGUUCCCGGGCCUU
rnacentral:rRNA from 1 species